GACGAACGCUGGCGGCGUGCCCAAUACAUGCAAGUCGAGCGCAGGAAAUCGACGGAACCCUUCGGUGGGAAGUCGACGGAAUGAGCGGCGGACGGGUGAGUAACACGUAAAGAACCUGCCCUCAGGUCUGGGAUAACCACAAGAAAUCGGGGCUAAUACCGGAUGGGUCAUCGGACCGCAUGGUCCGAGGAUGAAAGGCGCUUCGGCGUCGCCUGGGGAUGGCUUUGCGGUGCAUUAGCUAGUUGGUGGGGUAAUGGCCCACCAAGGCGACGAUGCAUAGCCGACCUGAGAGGGUGAUCGGCCACACUGGGACUGAGACACGGCCCAGACUCCUACGGGAGGCAGCAGUAGGGAAUCUUCCACAAUGGACGAAAGUCUGAUGGAGCAACGCCGCGUGAACGAUGAAGGCCUUCGGGUCGUAAAGUUCUGUUGUAAGGGAAGAACAAGUGCCGCAGGCAAUGGCGGCACCUUGACGGUACCUUGCGAGAAAGCCACGGCUAACUACGUGCCAGCCGCCGCAGUAA
rnacentral:rRNA from 1 species